UACAGGGGGUGCAAACGUUGCUCGGAAUUAUUGGGCGUAAAGGGCUCGUAGGCGGUCUGUUACGUCGGGAGUGAAAACUCGGGGCUCAACCCCGAGCCUGCUUCCGAUACGGGCAGACUAGAGGUAUGCAGGGGAGAAUGGAAUUCCUGGUGUAGCGGUGAAAUGCGCAGAUAUCAGGAGGAACACCGGUGGCGAAGGCGGUUCUCUGGGCAUUACCUGACGCUGAGGAGCGAAAGUGUGGGGAGCGAACAGG
rnacentral:rRNA from 1 species